AACGAACGCUGGCGGCAUGCCUAACACAUGCAAGUCGAACGAUUGCCUUCGGGUGAUAGUGGCGCACGGGUGCGUAACGCGUGGGAAUCUGCCCUUAGGUUCGGAAUAACAGCUGGAAACGGCGGCUAAUACCGGAUGAUAUCGCGAGAUCAAAGAUUUAUCGCCUGAGGAUGAGCCCGCGUUGGAUUAGGUAGUUGGUGGGGUAAAGGCCUACCAAGCCGACGAUCCAUAGCUGGUCUGAGAGGAUGAUCAGCCACACUGGGACUGAGACACGGCCCAGACUCCUGCGGGAGGCAGCAGUGGGGAAUAUUGGACAAUGGGCGCAAGCCUGAUCCAGCAAUGCCGCGUGAGUGAUGAAGGCCCUAGGGUUGUAAAGCUCUUUUACCCGGGAAGAUAAUGACUGUACCGGGAGAAUAAGCCCCGGCUAACUCCGUG
rnacentral:rRNA from 1 species